AUUUAAAUAGUUUAAAAUUUUAAAAUAUAAUAUUGAAAAUAUUAAGAUAAUAAAUUUAUUUUUAAAUA
rnacentral:tRNA from 1 species